CAGAUCGAGUCGGGGCAGAAAGUAACGUGUUCCGGCUUCAGUGAUGCUGAGGAUCCGGGCCGCCGGGGCUCCGCCUCUUGGACUCGCCGACGCCGACGGCGUCAUCCACCUCCAUCUCCUCCCGCGUUACCUUGCCGAGCCGCAGCCCCUUCACGGUUGCUGCAGCACUCGCCGUCGGAGUAGCGGUCACCACCACCACGGCGCCGUCCGUCCUCCCCAUCAGUUGCCGGCCGGCCUCGGCCGUCGUCAGAGCGGACGACAGAACCAGCAGGACGCCCAGCAGCGCAACCACACCCGCCUGAUGCUGGACGCCAACCUUCGCCAUAUUAUUACCCACACUUCACUGGAUGUCUAGAUCUCGCAGGUCGCGCGUCGCAGCUCCACGUACGAGAGCAAGCCAGCAGGUAGCAGCGCACUGCGAUCCCGAUGCUGCGAGUAGCUAGUCAAGUGGUGGUGUGGGUGCCCAAUGCUACGCGAACGGCUUGGGUUUAUAUAGGCGCGCGCGCGGCGGCAGCUGCCUC
rnacentral:lncRNA from 1 species